rnacentral:rRNA from 1 species
GACAGAGGGUGCAAACGUUGUUCGGAAUUACUGGGCGUAAAGCGUGUGUAGGCUGUCCGAUAAGUCGGGUGUGAAAGCCCUGGGCUCAACCCAGGAAGUGCACUCGAAACUGCCGGGCUAGAGUAUCGGAGAGGUUGGUGGAAUUCUCGGUGUAGAGGUGAAAUUCGUAGAUAUCGAGAGGAACACCGGUGGCGAAGGCGGCCAACUGGACGAAUACUGACGCUGAGACACGAAAGCGUGGGGAGCAAACAGG